rnacentral:lncRNA from 1 species
AUGCCAAAACCCUCGGAUGUGAUGAGAACCAUGCCAGUAUACCAGCAACACCAGUAUGAAGUCUCCAGGUUCCUGACGACCAAGCCACUGGCUCUGGGGAUUUUGGAAAUAUUGCUAGCCUUAUUAGGACUCUGUUUGACAAUCUGGAAUGAGAUUUUUUCUCUUUUCUGGUCACCAAUCAGCUUCACUUUAACUGGAGUUAUUACAGUCUACGCAGCAAACACAUGUAAACCAUGUCUGGUCAAAUCCUCACAAAUGCUCAGCUUUUUAAAUGCAGCAGCUGCUGCUCUGUCUCUCCACUUUCACUUUUAUUACACUGGGGGUGUAUCCUGCUUUCUUCUUAUGGCCUGUGAUACUCUCAUCGUAAUCUUCUCUGUUACGGUUGCUUUAACCUCUUUUUCCUGUUGCUGCAGACCAAAGUCGAGACAUGUCGAGGUCAGUUGCAUGAACACAGAUUUGCCUGUCAACCAUAUUGUGCUAAUGGGCCAGCCGGACUCUUCUACAGUGUUACAGUCCGUUAGUUCAGUCAUGUACAUGCUGCCAGCAGCACAUGGCCUUGUCCCACCUGCGCCUCUGCCAAAUUACAGUCCAGUACCAACUCUUCCUCCACCACCCUACGACCAGGUCUCAGCUGCUCCUCCACCAAACUACGGUCCAGUCCCAAGUGCACCUCCACCAGCAUAUGAGGUAAUUAUGAGCAUUUCUGAGUAACUGGAGGAAAUUGAUUCAUAAUUUAGAAUGGCUC